GCCCCUUUAGCUCAGUUGGUUAGAGCAUCUGACUCUUAAUCAGAGUGUCCAGGGUUCGAAUCCCUGAGGGGGCACCC
rnacentral:tRNA from 2 species